CUCUCUCUAGAAGCUUCUUCUUCUUCUUCUUCGAUGAUUCCUCUGUGAUUCUGCCUUUGUGAUGCUUCAAAUCCCCCUCUAAUGAUGAAGUUAUUAACGAAUUGAAGAAGGGAAGCCUUUAUUUCUAUUCGAAACUUGAUUCUUUUCAUGGUAGUAGUCUGAUUCUGUUCUGAUAUGUCUUGUUUGACUUUUGCAUGAGCUGAUUUUGCAUUAUUUGAAACGGAUCUGCUAGAAACAUGUUGUUGUGAUGGUUUUCGGUUCACUCUAAGAAGAAAGAAAACCAACAUCUCCACUCUAUGCUCCAUUCCUAUCAUUUCUAGCUGAGGUAUGUCUAACUGAGUCUUCUCUUCUUGUCUAUUUGUGAAAAUCCUCCUUUUCUGUUCUGACAUGUGUUGUUUGAUUAUUGCAUGAGCUGAAUCUAUAAGCUUUGACCUAGAUUUGUAAAGUACAUGAGCUGAAUUCGCCAUAUGUGACUGUUAAGCACUACUUAGGCUCCGAGGUCUUUGCCGGAGAGCGAGAGAGAUUGAUAGCCUCCAAGGUCUUUCCCGGAGAGCGAGAUAUAUUGCUGGCUUCCCAUGUCUUUGCUCGAGAGCGAGAAAUAUUGAUAGCCUCUGAGGUCUUUGUUGGAGAGUGAGAUAUAUUGAUGGCUUCCGGGGUCUUUACCGGAGAGCGAGGUGGUACAUCGACUUCGCGGAUCCCCCACGGGUCAUGGCUUUGAGGCAUAGCCCUUAGUAUGUGUGUACGGGAGUGGAGAGCUGGCCUGUGUGGCACUACAUUGCAUUGAACAAUGAAAUUGAGGAUGAGAAAUGUGAUGCGUAGUUUAUUGAUGGGUUGAAAUAAAUACUGGAGCAGAACGCAGAAUGCUAGAAAGCCAGAGAAAAGAUUAGUGCUGAAAUCACGGAGAUGGAGUCUAAAGCCGAGACUUCCACUGAUCAACAAGUAAAAAACUAUGAAGAAGUGAAGAUAGCGAGUCAAAUCUUGCUUAUGGAGCAAGCCCAAGGACUAGAAGCAUAUGAGGUCUCCGUGAUCGAAUUACAAACCUGAUAGUUAAGUAGGCAGUUAAGUAACUCAUCUCAAAGAUUUUAAGUGAAGUCAUAUAUGUGACGAAAGAAAAGUAUUGUACCUAAGAGAUCAAACUUAGCUCUAUACUUUGUGAAAGACGUCAAAUUUACCCCUAUACUUUUAACGUACCCUUGGCUCCGUUAGGAUAAGGAGUAUAUUUGAACAAAAGGCUAACGACGAGGGAAAAUUUGUUCGGAAAGUAUAACGGAGGUUAAAUGUAAAAUAUUUUAAAAAAUAUAGGGGUAAAUUUGACCAUUUCCCCAUACUUUAUGGAUCAGUUUUCACUUUG